GGUAAUCCAAUCUAGCAUUGAUUUUUUUUCUCUCCUUUUUUCUUUUGGUGCUUGGAAUCAAAUACAAGGAUUUCCUGAAUGCUAAACAUUCACUCUCCCCCUGAACUACACCUCCAACCCAUACGGUGGAUGUUUGAACAAGGACGAUAGUGUUCCCAACCAGCCAUGUCCUGGGACCUUCCUGGAACCUCCUGAGGUCUUACUACCACUCGUUGGCUUCCUCCCAACUAAAUGAGGAUUCUGUAGCUGCACCUAGAGGAGGUAUCCCACGGGUCAACUUUUGUAUUAGGGACUGACGGCGAGGUCAAAGGUGGUCCAAGGACGUCAAAGGACAGGCAUUCUCUCCAGGAUAUGAGAAGAGAAAGGUACGCAUAGAGGCUUUGAGGAAACAUUACAGGUGCAGGGAUGGAUGUGUGUACAGGG
rnacentral:lncRNA from 1 species